rnacentral:rRNA from 1 species
UACGGGGGGGGCUAGCGUUGUUCGGAAUUACUGGGCGUAAAGGGCGCGUAGGCGGUCUGCUAAGUUGGAUGUGAAAACUCUGGGCUUAACCCAGAGCCUGCAUUCAAUACUGACAGGCUAGAGUUCUGGAGGGGAUAGCGGAAUUCCUGGUGUAGCGGUGAAAUGCGCAGAUAUCAGGAGGAACACCGGUGGCGAAGGCGGGUCUCUGGGCCUUACCUGACGCUCAGGCACGAAAGCUAGGGGAGCGAACAGG